AUUCAAGUGUACAGAUCCAGUUUAUUCAUUCUUUCAUGGACACUGUCCCAAACAUCAGCCUCAAAUCACUAGGUGAAUGUAUCUUAUUUUAUAUAAUACAGACGUUACUUCAGUAUACAGAAGAAUGCUAACUCAUUUCUUGACAACUCUUAAGGACAGGAGGCACACAAGAAGAAAAGAAUUAUAUAAUAACAUCUUUCAUUGACCCUAGGAUUGCCAUAACAUAUAUAAUAAUAAUUAUGACUUAAUCAUUGUAUUAAAACAAAUUUGUUGAAUAAUAUGAAAAUUAAACAAUGACAAACUUGUAUGUAUAAGCAAAAAAAAUUGUUUCAAAAAUAGGAAACUAAAUUUAUAUUUCACCUUCAAUGAUGAACCAAGAUGAGCCAUUUUGUCAACUGUUUGCGAAUGAUGGAUCCUGUUACAGCUGAUUGAAAUGUAGCUUUCCAAUGCAAUGUGUUACAAGUAUCCAAUAAUCUAGUAGCAAAGGACUUUUUUUAAAUAGUUGUCUCCUUUACAUUACAGCUCUUUUUUCAUAAAUACUUGGCAUAGCCAAACAAAAAUAUGUUACUACCAAAUAAAGACAACCUAAUUAUUGCCAGACUUCAUGAAAAUUAGCCUGGUACUUUCUAAGAAUAACCUCAAUGUUAUUAUAUGAAAAAAACAAUUUAAAAAAUCCAAUGUAUAGCACCUCCCAGCACACACACAAAAAUAUCAAUAAUUUGUGAGUUUUAAAACUGAAAAGAAUGAAUGGUAACAAAAAAAAAAAGAAAAAAAAUGAAACAAAAAAUGUUUGAUUAGACAGUGCAAAAUGUCAACAACUUGUGUAGUUACACUAGUACUGACUGUCAACUGAAACAAGUGCUAACUCUUGCAGUUGUUGACAAACCUGGAUAUAUUGGACAGUAGCAGACAACCUUCAUACACCACUAAACACUAUUUAGUACAUUUCAAACUAAACUUCCAGCCUAGUCACUUUUGCCCUUCAUCAUUUCACUUCAGAGACUUCAAGCCAGAGCUAACAGCCAAGACAACAGAAUAGACUUUUAUCAAACAGAAUGCAGCCAUUUUUUGUUCCAACUUUCACUUUGACAUGCUUCAUAUUUACAUUUUGUCAGUUGCUAUCAUGCUUUCUGUUAUCAUUGACAAGACAUUCAGCCAUACUGGCUGUCAUAGGAUAAUAAAGUUAACACAUUUCAGGACUGACAUCAACUUAGUCAACAACUGUUGGGUCAAUAGACAAAAUAUUAUUUUGUACAAACAAACACCUAAGUUGCCCCCCCCCCCC